rnacentral:rRNA from 1 species
UACGGAGGGUGCAAGCGUUAUCCGGAUUCACUGGGUUUAAAGGGUGCGUAGGCGGGUAGGUAAGUCCGUGGUGAAAUCCCCGAGCUUAACUCGGGAACUGCCAUGGAUACUAUCUAUCUUGAAUAUCGUGGAGGUGAGCGGAAUAUGUCAUGUAGCGGUGAAAUGCUUAGAUAUGACAUAGAACACCAAUUGCGAAGGCAGCUUGCUACACGAAUAUUGACUCUGAGGCACGAAAGCGUGGGGAUCAAACAGG